GGGGGCGAUUAGGAUUCGACGCCGGUGACAAAACCUAAGGUGCAUGUCGUGAGGGCAGAUAAUCACGUUAAUCCAAAGCUGUAACUUUUUAGUUGCCAAUGAUGACAACUAUGGUGCUCAACUAGCCGCGUAAGCAGCUUUUUGUAGCAUGACCUAGCGGAUUCGUCUGCUAGCAGUCUUUAGCAAGGUGCCCUUAUCGCGCUAACGACUGUCAUAUAGAAAGGGAUCGUAGCAAAGCCUGCCUGGGGUGGCGCCACUAAAAUCUAUCAGGAUCGCGUUUCACGUCUUGGCUGUUGGGCUGUGAUUCGUUAAAUAAAUUAACAGAACUAAACAUGUAGAGCCGCAGGCAGCGUGCUGACGGACGGGGGUUCAAAUCCCCCCGCCUCCACCA
rnacentral:tmRNA from 1 species